UAUGAUACUUAUCUUUUCAAAAAAAUGAAGACCUUUUUAGAUCAUAUAUCAAACUAAUUUUGUAAAUAUUCUUUUAGAAAAAAAGUAAACAUAUGAAAAGUUAUACAAUAAAUUUUUAUGAGACAAAAAGAUAUAUACAACCUAACACAAUCUAAUACAGCAAAUAUAAUACAAAAAAUGAAGACCUUUUUAGAUCAUAUAUCAAACUAAUUUUGUAAAUAUUCCUUUAAAAAAAAGUAAACAUAUGAAAAGUUAUACAAUAAAUUUUUAAGAGACAAAAAGAUAUAUACAACCUAACACAAUCUAAUACAGUAAAUAUAAUACAUAAUUUUAUUUUUGAAAAAAAUAUAUAAGGAACAAAUGAUAGAAAAAGAAAAUGUAAUAAACGUUAAAUACAACAAACAUAUUAGAUCGAAUACCAUGCAAAUAAAACGAAUUUGAAAAAGCUGAAUAAAAUUACCUAAGAAAUUUCAACGCUAUAAUAUAAAGAAUAUGUAAAUCUUUUAAAGAAUUGUUGAAAUUUAAAGAAAUGCUCGAUUUGAUGAAGAUGGCAGUGCCAAGCUCGAUGCAACACGCAAACUCAUUCUUCGUCCGUAGCACGUGCUCAAUCUUGGCCUCGGAGCCCAUGAAGGAGGAAGAGAAAGCAGAGAAGGAGAGAAAGGGACUUUUGCGUGGAUUUCUACGAUUUAUGAUUUAAAUUAGGGUUAAGAUGGGUGGAUAAUUAAUUACACGUUAUGUGCGGAGGAAAGACGAAGGAUUGAGGGUGGACCAUUAAUUAGACAUUACUGGUGGAGGAAAGACGAAGGAUUGGUUUCACAAUGUGAAGCUAAAAGUAAAAAAAAUACAAUCACGCGACAUUUCUUUUGAGUUUUAAUGUAUAAGAAGAUAUAGAUAUAGAUAUUAGGGUGCGUUUGGUUCGCAUUAUGAAAGAUUACUAGGAAUAAAAGAUAUCCGAGAAUCUUAUUCCUAUUCAUUCUAUUACUAAGAAUGUGGAAUUUCUAUGUUUGGUUCGCACGGUAAUAUUAAUUAGCCAUAUUAUUUAAUAUUACAAAAAAUAUACAAUUAAUUAAUUUAUUUAUUUAAUUAAUUUUAGAUAAUGUUACCAAAAGUUUUAACAUCUUUUUAGAAAAAAAGGAGAGAGAGUAUAAGUUAGAGAGAGAUAGCAUAAUUAAAAAAAUAGAAAGAAAAAUAGAGUCAAAAUUAGAGGGAGUGAGAGAGUUGAAAUUUUAGAAAGAGAGAGUGAGAAAGCUUAGUUUAGAGACAGAAAAAAAGUUGAAUUUUAGGGAGAAAAAUAAGUUUAGAGAGAGGUUAGAGUGUAACGAAAAAUAAUAUCAAUUAGCCGGCGGGUAGGAAGAAAGAAAGAGAUUAGACAUAUUAUGAUUAUCCCAAUUCAUUAAUAUGAGGAUAUCCACCCUUCCUCAAGGGAAUUAGAUUAGUACUUUGGGGUGAAUCUUAUUCCCAAGUGAAUCCAAUAUUACCAACUAGAUUACUUAGUGCGUUUAGGCAAACACCGUCAUAUUUUUUUAUUCACAUUGGAUUAUUAGGAAUCUUUAAAAAAUAACGCGAACCAAACGCACCCUUAAUUUUUCUCCUUCCUAGUAUCUGUUAAAUAUUUUUUAAUAUUAAAAUUUAAUAAAAAAUUUUCAAAUACUAAAAAAAUAAUAAAUUUUUAAAUAAAAAACAAAAUUAGUAUAUAAUAGCAAAUC
rnacentral:lncRNA from 1 species